rnacentral:rRNA from 1 species
GGGGAAUAUUGCACAAUGGGGGAAACCCUGAUGCAGCGACGCCGCGUGAGCGAGGAAGUAUUUCGGUAUGUAAAGCUCUGUCAGCAGGGAAGAAUUUAUGACGGUACCUGACUAAGAAGCCCCGGCUAACUACGUGCCAGCAGCCGCGGUAAUACGUAGGGGGCAAGCGUUAUCCGGAUUUACUGGGUGUAAAGGGAGCGUAGACGGCGUAUCAAGUCUGAUGCGAAAGGCAGGGGCUCAACCCCUGGACUGCAUUGGAAACUGGUAUGCUUGAGUGCCGGAGGGGUAAGCGGAAUUCCUAGUGUAGCGGUGAAAUGCGUAGAUAUUAGGAGGAACACCAGUGGCGAAGGCGGCUUACUGGACGGUAACUGACGUUGAGGCUCGAAAGCGUGGGGAGCAAACAGG